GUGGGGAAUAUUGGACAAUGGGCGGAAGCCUGAUCCAGCCAUGCCGCGUGUGUGAAGAAGGCCUUUUGGUUGUAAAGCACUUUAAGCGAGGAGGAGGCUCCUUUAGUUAAUACCUAAAGUGAGUGGACGUUACUCGCAGAAUAAGCACCGGCUAACUCUGUGCCAGCAGCCGCGGUAAUACAGAGGGUGCGAGCGUUAAUCGGAUUUACUGGGCGUAAAGCGUGCGUAGGCGGCUUUUUAAGUCGGAUGUGAAAUCCCUGAGCUUAACUUAGGAAUUGCAUUCGAUACUGGAAAGCUAGAGUAUGGGAGAGGAUGGUAGAAUUCCAGGUGUAGCGGUGAAAUGCGUAGAGAUCUGGAGGAAUACCGAUGGCGAAGGCAGCCAUCUGGCCUAAUACUGACGCUGAGGUACGAAAGCAUGGGGAGCAAACAGGAUUAGAUACCCGUGUAGUCC
rnacentral:rRNA from 1 species